GACGAACCGAGCGAACGUUAUUCGGAAUCACUGGGCUUAAAGGGCGCGUAGGCGGGCCAUCAAGUCAGGGGUGAAAGCCCCCAGCUCAACUGGGGAAGUGCCUCUGAUACUGGUGGCCUCGAGGGAGGUAGGGGCGUGCGGAACUUCCGGUGGAGCGGUGAAAUGCGUAGAUAUCGGAAGGAACACCGGUGGCGAAAGCGGCGCGCUGGACCUCUUCUGACGCUGAGGCGCGAAAGCCAGGGGAGCGGAAC
rnacentral:rRNA from 1 species